CUGGCAGCGAAGGGAUGCCAGAUUUGCAGACCAACAGUUCAUCUAUGUAAUGUUCCUAGUGUAAUGGGAAUUACAUGGGCUAGUUUACUGAUGUGGAUAAACACUACUAUGCACAAGAGGGAUUGACAACAUUCCUUAGAUUCAAAUCCGGUUUACCUAUAAAUCUAUACCUGCAACAGAGAUGUUGCAAUUCUGCUGUCCUGCCAAAGUAUCCACUUCAGCCUAUGCUGGGGUUUUUUGUGUGUGUUAUUAUUUAGCUUGUAACAGUUGUGCUCUUUCUCCCCAAUUAUGCACAUGAUUUGCUUUAAGAAAAAUCCAGCAUAAGAUGGUUGAUUUAUUGCUCACAUGUAACAAAAUGCCAGGCUGAAAUGAUCAUAUCCCUAUUUGGAGAAAAAGUGACUGACAUUCAACCCUGCUAUGAGAGGCAGCUGCUGUCUUGAGUAUUGUAUCAGCCUGUGCUGGAUUAAACCAGCUCCAGCUAUAGUAACAGAAGUGCAUGGAAGGAGACUACAGCCUAACACAAAGUUCAAGUUGAGGACAAGACAUUGAUAGUUUAGUAUGAGAAAUCUGAAGAUCUUUGGGUAUAGAUUUAUUAAGGAGGAAAAAAGAGGGGGAACCCAUCAGAUCACAUGAACAACACAACAAGCAUCAGUACAGCCAUCUUACACAUUGAGAUCCAUAUGUCAUCCAAAUGUCUGAAAUAGGAAAGAGACUGUAGAUUCUGACGAGUCUUGACCAUUGCAACAGAACAGCAACUGAGUUUAUCUCAUAGUAGAACAGGUCAUCUCUGUCUUAUGUUGGUGAGAAAAGAAGAUGUUCUGAAGAGAGAAACAAAGCUGGCCCUCACAGUGUCUAUGUGAUCCUCUGAGACCUACAGCCUACCUAUGAGAAGACCCACCCCUUAGCAUUAUCGGUAUAGUUUGGCAAGAUAUACAGCCAAAAUUUAAGCUGAGUAACUAUAUGGCCAGUCCUAAUAUCAGAUAUAGUAUGACUGAAUAUACUUCAGCACAGAAAUAAAUGCAAAUUAGUAUUCCCUCCCCCGCCACCCCUCUGGGAGGCAGGACAGACUGGUGCAGCAACUUGAGGUACCAAUUUGCUGUGAUCUUAUUAAGUCACAUAAACUGAGUUUGAGGCCUCCUGUCUAAAUACUCAGACAGAAGGCCUCAGAGGAAAACCCAAGAUAGUUGCAGGCAAUGACUCGAUAGAUGACAGCCUUCAUGCUCCAUCAUAACUACAGUAUUAACAGUAGGGUGUCUUUCUUUUCUGUAUGUGCUAUAUUCCACUAAAGUUAAAAGCCUUCGUCGUCUAUGGCAGUGUGAUUUGCGGUGCAGUCUGUAGGCCGCACAGUGAAUACUACUGGCUUUGUAGGGUGCAUUAAAAAUUCUGUCACACCUUCUGCUGAGAUUAAGUGAGCCUAAAUAUUGGGACUCAAUUCUGUCGAGAGAGCACAGUUGUAUUCUUUUCCCUAGGGUGGAGUGAUGUCAUUGCGAUUUUUCUGUUCUUCUUCACCCAGACUGCCUUUUACUUCCUUCUUGUCUCCUGGCAGCUCUAGCCUUAGAACCACAUGCAUCAUCUCUCUCACCAUUCUUGGCCAGCCUUUAGCAUCUCCUUUCUUCUCAUCCCAUUUAUCGGUCACUGUGCAAUAAUAAAAUAAUAAAAAAAUUGUCUCUAUGCAAUCCAAAUUUUGUGUCAACAGAAGCUGAAUUUUAUGGCCUGAAAAUAAAUGGCAAAAUGUAUACAUUUGCACCUUAUAUGCAUAGUAUUAUUUUCCCAGUGAGACUGAUGGUGGCCAUGUUAAGGCCCAACAAGGCGCACAGCUCAGUGAGAUGCAUGUGAAAGGACCAUCUGGCUCAAGCCAUUCCAGAAUCCCAGUGUAAAAGAGGGCUGUACUGUUUUGAUGUUUCUGCUUGUAUUCCAAAAUGCCUAAAAUUGGUCCUCCUUUUGUUCAUGUUUCUAUUUCUACUGGACCAGAUUUCCUGUUUUCAUACAAAUAACUUGGGAUCUUAGGUGCUCUUGUCUGUAAUGCAAAUAAUGCUGGAAUUGCUUCUAAGGCCACUACUGGCUUUACUUUUUCUACAUAUACGCAAAUGUUGACCAUUCUGUGUUGUUGCUUUGGGUAAGGCUUUUUUUUAAAUUGGCUACUCAGAUAACCGAUUUAAUUUUUUUUAUCAAUGCUAAUUCUGGAUUCAAAGAGCCUCCUGACUAAUUCUAGAUGCCCACAGAACCUUUGUCCUUGUGUUUCGCAAACAGCAUAUUUUUGUGCUACCUACCAAACUGUUUUUGAAAUGGACAGAGUUUUAAAAGCAGUUGAGAGUUUGUGGUUCAAACUUUUUAAAAUGUCCUGGAUUGAUGCAUGCUCUUAGAUUUUUUUGUAUCCCAGUGUUUAUCUCAAAUGCCACAAAACGUUAAUUUAUUCAUUGAGAUUCCCUUUACCAUAAUUUAAGAGAGCUAUGUAAGAUGACAGUAAAGCACAACAUCGAUAGAUACCUCUUGAACACACUGAUUAAAAUUAGUACUGUGCUACCUGAACUACUAGCACAAAACAGAUCUCACUGCUAACUUUCAGCUCUUUUGAUUGUUCCUUAAACUAACAACAUCUAAAGUAAACAUAGUAUGUACUCUGGUUUUAUUGAUUUAUCAUAAGACAGGAUGGUACUAGGAAUUGGAUAUGCCACUUAAAAUCGUGAGUAUAUUUCAUUGCCACUUAAUCGGGGAAUUAUAGAUAUGUAAUCUUUUAGGUAUGAGAGUGUCGAAGAGAAGAGAUGUCUGCAUCUGU